UACGGUUCUACACCCACGGUAGAAUCGCGAAACACGUCGCGUGUUAAGUAUUCAUAUUUUUGAGGCAGCUGUUUUGGCAACGUGCGCCGGUCAAUUCCCGUACCGUUGAAUAUCGUGCGGCGUACAAUUUCGUGAUCUGUUUACGGAUGGUGGAUAAAUUUAGAUUCACACAAGCAAAACGGCGGAGAGCAUUGGCCCUAAAGAGUUUGCCAACACAAGCCUCCUAGUGAUUUUGGUUGACGAGAAACACAAAAAUGUGAUGUGCAAAAAAGACAUGGGAAUCGCGAAAUAAAGUAUUGUGGUUAGUGAUAAUGUAGAAAUAUACGAAAAACAAACCUUUCUUUGGAAGCGGUGAAUUCAAAUAUUCCAUCGUACCCCGAGCGAUAAGUUACGUCUACUUAUCUGUGGUUUAGUGUUCAAACAGGCAAACCACAAUCAGUCGAAACGGCUGAUAGCAGUACCAUAUCACAUGUAGCUCUACUAAUCCCUUCGAUUGCAGUUGGUGCGACGCGAAGAGAUUAUUAUUUGAAGAGAGUACAGUCGAAGAACUGUGGCUGUGACUGAUGAUUGCGAGAUCUCCAGAUGCGCCUCAUUCACCGAUCGGAACUCGCCGCGUACGGAACGGAUGAAAAGUGUCGCGCAGUUAAGACGCCGAGAACGUCGCCGUAGCAUUCCCCGUGCUCUGUCUUGGGUGUUACGAAUGGUGGAAACAUAUUAAAUGCAAUCAAACAGCCAAAGAGAAUCGAAUCCCAAAGUGUUUGUUCUAAAAAUACAGCAGAGGUGAUUGUGGUAAAAAUAAGUUUACAAAUGUGGAAAAAUCAUUCCAACUGCUGAAUAGAGGGUAGAGAAGAUUUUUUUUUG